CGACAACCUGCCAAACACACACAAACCUAGAGGGAGUGCGCGCGCAUCUUAUUAUUUGAAAAAAGGAACACAUAUGUGAGAAUGCUGUUUGUAGACUACAGCUCAGCAUUCAACACCACAGUGCCCUCCAAGCUUGAGGUGAAGCUCUGGACUUAAACCGCUCGCUGUGCAGCUGGAUCCUGGACUUCUUGUCAAUCAGACGUCAGGUGGCUAGAAUGGGCAGCAACAUCUCCUCAUCAUUGACCCUCAACACUGGAGCCCCGCAGGGCUGUGUACUCAGCCCAAUCCUGUAUUCCCUGUACACACAUGACUGUGUGGCAACACAUGGCUCCAAUGCCAUCAUUAAGUUUGCUGACGAUACGACUGUGGUAGGUCUGAUCACUGACAAUGAAGAAAGACUCUGAAGAGCCUACAGAGAGGAGUAAGACCACUACAUCCUCACACUGUUCUACACCAGCAGUGUAGAGAGCAUCCUGACUGGCUGCAUCACUGCCUGGUAUGGCAACAGCACUGCCCUCAACCGCAAAGCCCUGCAAAGUGUGGUGCGACCUGCUAGACACAUCAUCGGAGGCUAGCUUCCCUCUCUCCAGUACAUAUAUACCAGGUGGUGUGUGAAAAAAGCUCAGAGGAUCAUCAGAGAGUCCAGCCACCCAAGCCACGGGCUGCUCUCACUGCUACAAUCAGGCAGGCGGUAACGUAGCAUCAGGACCCGCACCAGCGGACUACAUGACUGCUUCUUCCCCCAUGCAAUCAGACUUUUGAACUUUUGAUCUCUCUCGAUCAAUAUACAUCAGCACUGCACUUUAUUAAUCUUAUUAUCUUACACUGGACUGUCAUAAAUUAUAUUCACUCUAAACAAUACUGGCAACUGACUAUCAACCGACAGCCUGAACAUCAGUACAGCACAAUAUAACAUACUGUAUAUUUUAUAUAUAUAUAUAUAUAUAUCACAAGCAAGAUGUUGUACUGAAUAGAAGUUUUCAUCAACGUUUUCAUUUAUAAUGUGAUGCUCUUUUGUGCAACAAAAUUAGACCAAUGUUGUGUUUUAGGUUAUGUUGUGCAGAUCCUUACUAAAGAACUUCAUUAGAUAAAAACAAAUGCAAUGGUAUGUUGAAAAGUAUUUGUUUUAAGGUUUGGAUCCAUUUGACUAAACACAAUUUUGAUGAUGAAUUUGAAUUAUACUUAAGAAACAUACUUAAAAAAAAAAAAAUUAUUUUCAUCAGAAUUUUCUUAAAAUAUGUGAGGAGUGGGACAUUCAUUUUUUUAAACAAUUGUUACUUUCCAUACUUCAGCAUUUAGGUCUUUGGAUGAUUUAUUUUAAAAAGUUUUGCAAAGCCAUUAGACCUACAUAAAGUAUGCAAGAAGGAUGAGCACUGUUUAUUUGCAAGGAUGUUUCCAGGUAAAUUUACCAACAGAUAAUAGUUUAUUAGGUAUUAGUUUUCUUUUUGUUUUUUUCAUCUUGUUACACAUCGAACCUUUCGGACUCUAUCCUCUGAUUACCCUAUCCAUGUUUCCUCUGCUGUUUUGUUCCACUAUAUUUCGAUUUGGUGAUCUGCAUAUGACUUCCUGUAGAAGAGGAGUGUGUGGUUUCUGGAAAGAGCAUUAAAACUGCAGCCCCUCCCACUGCCUCUGCAACCCGCCCACCAAGGGGAGGGUCUAAGAUAGUGGUCUACAGCUCUGGUGACACAAGCGCUCAAGGUUUUUCCUCAUUCUCUCUCUUUUAGCUUUGGGCCAUCCUACCCUUUUAAUACAGAUGCUUUCAAGUUCAAGGUCUUCUAUUCAUUCCCAUGAUGGACUAUUUCACAUUUCUCUCGCUGACAUAACAAACUUGUCAUAACUAAUUCCUGCCUCAGUUUCAUGCCGCUUCAUUUCCCAUCCUCAUGCUCGGCUGAUUGUGUCUGUCAUGUACAGGCUCUAUGCUCUGAACUUUGGGGUUCAAUCCCCUAGAUCUGCUCACUUCAUGUGUUUCACGGACUCUGUGACUCAUCCAGCAGUAGGGUCCUCUGCAUUUCAUGGUAAAUGAGUGUCUGUUAAUGGUGUGUUUCGAAUGUGACCCUGUAAUAAAUGCACUAGUAAACCAGCAUCCUGCAAACUUGUCCUUCCAUCAACAUUGAAACGAAAAGCAUGCAUCAACAUCAUUAGCUUGAAACUGUUGGUAUCUGCUCACUUUGGCACUGCAUCACUAAUUACUAUGCAACUGUUUUCUUAGAAGUUGCCUUGGAUAAAAAAGGGUCUAAUUAAAUAUUGCAAAUCACCUAUAAAUUACAUAUUUCAACUCCCCAGGCAUCUGCAUCCCAAGAACUUGAAUGGCCACCAUUUAAAAACGUACAAACGCAUCUCCUGCUUCUCAUGUUCAAUUUUAAAUAUUUUAGCAAAUUGGUAAUGCUUUCAGCUAGCAAUAGGGUGAUUGUCAGGAAUCAAGACCUGUCAAGAAAAUGUCAUGCUCAUAAUUUACUCCAAAAUCUAAAGAAACAUUUUUGAAAUUCUCUUUUGCAUGUAGGAAAUCAAGCUUAUUUUAGGGCCAUCAAGAAUUUUUACAAUGUGACUUUAUUUUCAUGACCGCUAUGUAUGUUUUGUCCACCAGUUAUCAUAAAAAAAAAAAAGUUAACUUCAUACUAGAACUCCCUUGGCAUCGCCUAUUUUUGUUAAUUGUGCAAAAAAAUAUUUUUUACUAUAAUAUAGGCUAGUAAAACAUUUUUUUUUUUUUUUAUAGUAAUGAGAAUCUUCAUUGAAAACAAUGGGAUUUGUAAAAGUAAAAUGUCCAGUAGGGGCCUGGGUAGCUAAGCAAGUAAAGAUGCUGACUACCACACCUGGAGUUGCAAGUUCGAUCCAGGGCAUGCUGAGUGACUCCAGUCAGGCUUCCUUAAGCAACCAAUUGGCCCUGAUGCUAGGGUGGGUAGAGUCACGUUGGGUUAACCUCCUCUUGGUCGCCAUAACGUGGUUGCGGUUUCUCGGUGGGGUGCGUAGUGAGUUGUGUGUGCAUUCCUUGGAGAAUAGCGUGAAGCCUCCACACGCGCUAGGUCUCCGUGGUAAUGCACUCAACAAGCUGCGUGAUAAAGAUGCGUGGAUUGAUGGUCUCAGAUGCAGAGGCAACUGAGAUUCGUCCUCUGCCACCCGGAUUGAGGUGAGUCACUACGCCGCAAUGAGGACUUGGAGCGCAUUGGGAAUUGGGGAGAAAAGGGGAGAAAAUAAUCAUUUAAAAAAAUAAAUGCCCGGACACAUUGGUCAUGAUAAUUAUUAAGCGUUUUUAAAAUAUUGUCACAAUAUGAAAAGCUUUAAUGGUCCUAAAGGUAGGCUUUAUUUACUUUAAGCAAAAUAUAAUUUCAUAUUUCUCUUAAGGUUGAUUUGAGGUUAAAAUAUGACCAGGAUAUUUUCUUUUCGGGCUCAAUUUUUGUGUGUGUGCAAAGCGCAGCGAUACGUGCUAUUACUGUGCGAUACGUUAAUAAAGUGACACAAAGCACAAUUUGCUAUUUUCCUGAGAAAUAUGUAAUUUCGCUCAGAAGUUUCAAAAGCAAGUCGAAACUCGAUUCCUGCGUUUGCAGUUUGGACUUCCAACAGCAGGUGGUAAUAAGGUUCAUGUCCAAACUCUGAUAAUAUAGUGACUCAUCAAAUAAGUUGUAGCCUCUUAUUACACAAAACGUUUUGUGUUUAGCUAUCUAUAGUUCAUGGUUUAUUUUUCAAUUAUUAAUAUUAUAUUUACAGUUGUAUGUAUGAUCGAAAUUGUAUGGUAUUUUUCUACUUGUUGUCAUAGUGAUUUUUAAGUCACUGCCCAAGGUGCCGGUGAAAGAAGUUGGAGAGGAUAAAAUGUUUGGAGUUGGUAUGAAUUUUUUCUAUUUCUUCAUUUUGAUAAUAUUUUCGUUUGAAGUGUAAUUUGAAAUAAAAAUAUUUUUGGUUAAAUUGUUUUCUUUUUCAAUAAAUAAAUGUAAUUGUUUAAAAUCAAAAUUGACCGGUAGAAGUGUGUAUACUGACAUUAUCACUGUUAUUAUUAGCCAUGGUUUCUAGGUCAGUAGAUGAAAAUUAUUAAUAAUACUUGCAUUUCCUAUAAUUUAACGGAGCGUGCUUACAAAUGCUGAUGAGAAUAAAAAAAAUGUUUAAGCAUAUAAAAGGAGCGUGUCAAUAUUUUCAUUAUUCUGAUUUCCAACUUCUUAUGAAUGUGCUGUUUUUGUUUAUAUCACUGGUGCUUGAGGGAAUGGACUAUAUUUUAGGACACAGAUGGUGCAAUAACUGGAGAAGAACCUUAGAAUUAAAUUACACUUGACCCAGCCCAUCAGUGCAUUGUGCACAUGAUUUGGCCAAACCCACCUGCGUUUAGACUUGGCACAUGCUUGCACGAAAAUACCAAAAUUUCAUGGCCAUGCACGUUGACUUUGCGUUUGACUUAAAGUAUAGAGCAGCACUUAGUGCUCUUAAAAUAGGGCCCGACAGGUAAGACUGGUUAUUUUGUGAGAAUCACCCAGAAAGAGUAGUAUUUUACCAUGUCUAAAUCCAUUAGCAAAUCCAAUUGUGCCCCAAAAUCACUUAAAAAAUGCAAAGGAAAAAAAGUCUGCAGAUUCUCUCGAGGCCUGCUUAUACUCUGAUGGUAUAUUUGUAUGUAUUAAUCAUUGUUUUCUUUUGUGUUACAUUCUUGUGUGUAUUUGUGGUUCAGUAGGCAGUAAAACAAGUUCAGGGCAAGGGGAGAAGACUGCAAGAGAUGGUUCCAGUCAGCGGGUGCCACGGCAGGUCAGUGCCACCAGGGGGCAGAAGAGCGCCAAGAGUUCUGGCAGUAGCAGCUCCUCUUCUCAUCUCACCUCCAACUGAAGUUCUACAUACUAAACUCCCUCAAGUUACACUCGUUUGUUGCUGUCAUUGAGAGUCCUGAAGAAUUGGAAAAAUAAAAUGUUUUCACUGUAAAUAUUUACACUUGUUUUAAAGCCAUUGUAGUUAUCUCCUUUAGGAUACUUAGCGUGAAAAACCUUGUUUUACAUAAGCUUCAGUUAUGGUCUCUCAAGAUGCUAAUUUUAUGCAUGUAAUUUUGUAUGGUAUAUUUUCAGCUGUGGUGUUGCUAGUGGGACCAUCAGACCUAAAUAGAGUUUACACAUUCACACCAAAACAGUUAUUUAUGAAAAAUGCAUCAAUUCUUUAUUCAAAUUUUCCACUUUUGAAAUGUAACCUGAUCUUUUUGUUUUAGAGGAGUUCAAAAGCUGGUUCAUUUAUUCUGUCUUGAUAUUUUCUGUGUGUGAAAUGCUGCUUUUAUAUAUAUUUAGAUUUCUUUUGUAUGUUUGUUUUCAAGUAUAUUACUCAAAUUGUACCUUUGCAUUUUGCCUUUGGUUAAUAACACACCCUCUGUAAAAUCCAUGUCCCAAUAUUUGUACACAGAUACAUACUGUAUAAAUGCUUAACAUGAAGAAGCACAUGGCUGUGUAAACUGGUCUGCUAAAAGUCAAUGCACGUAUAUGAAGCAAAAUAAACACUUAAUU